rnacentral:rRNA from 1 species
CCUACGGGAGGCAGCAGUGGGGAAUAUUGCGCAAUGGGGGAAACCCUGACGCAGCGACGCCGUGUGAGUGAUGAAGGUUUUCGGAUCGUAAAGCUCUGUCAGGUGGGAAGAAUAAGGUCUGUGAAAAUAUUGCAGUCCGAUGACGGUACCACCAGAGGAAGCACCGGCUAACUCCGUGCCAGCAGCCGCGGUAAUACGGAGGGUGCAAGCGUUGUUCGGAAUUAUUGGGCGUAAAGGGCGUGCAGGCGGGUAUGCAGGUCAGGUGUGAAAUCCCUCGGCUCAACCGAGGAAGUGCAUCUGAAACCGUGUAUCUUGAGUACGAGAGAGGCAGAUGGAAUUCCCAGUGUAGAGGUGAAAUUCAUAGAUAUUGGGAAGAACACCGGUGGCGAAAGCGGUCUGCUGGCUCGAUACUGACGCUGAGACGCGAAAGCGUGGGGAGCAAACAGGAUUAGAUACCCUGGUAGUCCACGCCGUAAACGAUGUGCACUAGGUGUUGGGGGUAAUUAAACCUUCAGUGCCGCAGCUAACGCAUUAAGUGCACCGCCUGGGGAUUACGGUCGCAAGACUAAAACUCAAAGGAAUGACGGAAUCUCGACCGCGGGACACGU